AUUCCCUGUGCUUCUCGGAGCCCUCCCGCUGCUGCUCCCAUGCGCGUGGGUGGGUCAGCACAGUGCGGACCUGCCUGGACCAGUGUGCUUUCUGGCCCCACUGCAAGAGAGCGCGUGGGGCUCACCCCACCAUGCCAGCUCCUCCUCAGGUGAGUGCGUGGCCCUGAGCCCGAACAAAAGUGAAACCCCUAAAAUGGAGCCUCCUCUUCAACCCACAGCUCCCCCCAAUCUCCUCCCACUCCAUCCUGGGAUCACUAGCAGUGCAGUUGGAGGACCGGUGGCUGGGACAAGGAGACGAUGAGCCCAGAGUCCCCCAGCAGAUGGAGCUCCUGACACCAUUUCUGCUUUUCCUUUGCGAGCUCUCCUCCAGGUUCUGUUUACCACUGAAGAAAAAGAGCACAUUCUCCUGAGAAUGGAGUCCGCACCAACCUGCCUAAUGAGAUUAAUGCUGGGUUCCCUCUAGACCAGCCAGAUUGGAACUAUAACACGGCUCAAGCCCUAGAAGUGAUCAGAAACACUGCCUGGAGCAGCUCAAGGAGGCCUACAAACCAGGAGAUUUAAUGGUACCACACCAGUUUCAGGUGGGAGAUGCAGUUCUCAUCCGACGACACCAAGCUGGGAAUCUAGAACCUCGUUAGAAAGGCCUUUACAUCAUGCUGCUGACCACCCCCACUGCUGUCAAAGUAGAAGGCAUCUCUGCUUAGAUUCAUGCCUCUCACGUAAAGCGAGCUCCUGAAGAAUAAAUCCCCUUGGUUGACCACUCUCAUUUUGAAAGAUCCUGACAGAAUGUAAAAGGUCACAGAAGCCCUGCAAUUGGCAAAAUAGAUUUUAUUGUUAGUAGAACUAGCUUCACUGAUUUAGAAAAAUAGAGGUGCACAAUGCUUUGGCCGCUCCUCAAACCUGUGUGUCUGCCAAUGUUCUGACCAUUUCUUGAACCCAGGUGUGUGACCACUGCUGCACCUCACUGCCAAGUGUUUGUGAUAUUGGUUGCUAUAUUGGUUGCUGGGAAAGAGUUGGAAAAUCUCCCCAUCAACCACAGUCGGGGCCAAUCCGGAGAUGUUGCACCUUCAUUAGACUCCUUCCUUGUUUCCCUCCAAUACCCGUUUCUUGAGGAAUCAAUCAUUUUAGAAUAGAUAUUGUUUAGAUCUGGAAAUCCCCUACUCCCCCCUUCUCCUUUCCCCUUAAUGAUUUAUAAAAAUUGGGACCCCUUUUCCCUCAGGGUCGACUCCUCUACCCCUGCGUGGGAUACGAGUCAUCACCAG
rnacentral:lncRNA from 1 species